AGUGGCGGACGGGUGAGUAACGCGUAAGAAUCUAACUUCAGGACGGGGACAACAGUGGGAAACGACUGCUAAUACCCGAUGUGCCGCGAGGUGAAACCUAAUUGGCCUGAAGAAGAGCUUGCGUCUGAUUAGCUAGUUGGUGGGGUAAGAGCCUACCAAGGCGACGAUCAGUAGCUGGUCUGAGAGGAUGAGCAGCCACACUGGGACUGAGACACGGCCCAGACUCCUACGGGAGGCAGCAGUGGGGAAUUUUCCGCAAUGGGCGAAAGCCUGACGGAGCAACGCCGCGUGAGGGAGGAAGGUCUUUGGAUUGUAAACCUCUUUUCUCAAGGAAGAAGUUCUGACGGUACUUGAGGAAUCAGCCUCGGCUAACUCCGUGCCAGCAGCCGCGGUAAUACGGGGGAGGCAAGCGUUAUCCGGAAUUAUUGGGCGUAAAGCGUCCGCAGGUGGUCAGCCAAGUCUGCCGUCAAAUCAGGUUGCUUAACGACCUAAAGGCGGUGGAAACUGGCAGACUAGAGAGCAGUAGGGGUAGCAGGAAUUCCCAGUGUAGCGGUGAAAUGCGUAGAGAUUGGGAAGAACAUCGGUGGCGAAAGCGUGCUACUGGGCUGUAUCUGACACUCAGGGACGAAAGCUAGGGGAGCGAAAGGGAUUAGAUACCCCUGUAGUCCUAGCCGUAAACGAUGGUUACUAGGCGUGGCUU
rnacentral:rRNA from 1 species